rnacentral:lncRNA from 1 species
CUCAAUAUGUUCUUUCAUAAGAUAUUUUCCUUUUUGGUCGGAUUUUGCAUCCAGGGCUAAGAUUUAACCAAAUCCACAUGUUUGUAAAAGCAACUCUUAACUUAUUCUUAAUUAAUGAAUGAGGUAAAACUUUUGCCUCCGCUUUUGAAAAAAGAUCGAAACCGGCUAAUUUUUGUUUAGUACAGUUGAAUUAAAAACACGGUCGAAUCUUUGCCUUGGCUGCGAUUUCAGAUAAUAAAUCCAACUGAAUUCCUACAUAGCUGAAUUAUUCUUACAAAAGCCUAACUGAAUUCACACACAGAUAAAAAAUAGACAUGAGAAAGCUGAAUUAGAAGAAGAAGAAAAAAACUAUGCAAUUUGUACAUGAACGAAACCAGCAGUUUGACGACUUCCUUUCUUCGGCAGUUUGGCUCGGCCCGAUCCGUUUUAGUUCUCGCCAUCGUCACUCCCAACUCCCAUGGUCGAAGCCCUCAUCAAGGUUGUCUCCCCCAAUGGCGGAGGCAGGAUCGAUCAAUGCCCACGCAAGCCUUAUGCUACAAUUUUUCAAAUACACAUAGACUUUUUUCAUACAAGUUGUACAUUUUUGGCAUACACACGAAACAUUUUUCUGAUACAUGUUCAACAUUUUUUAAAUACAUGAUGAACAUUUGUUCAAAUACACGUUUGAGCAUUUUUUGAAUGCAUGUUAAUUUUUUUCCAAAUGCAGGUUGACAUUUUCUGGAUACACAUUGAACAC